AAUUAAAAAGGGAGUGUGACCUAUAUGGAACUUAACCGGUCUCUUUUUUUUUUUUUUUUUUUUGAAAUUCAAAAAGGGAGAGACAUGUAUACAAGUUAACCGAUCUCCUUUACUCACAAAAAUAAAAUAUGAAACCCUAACACUUCACUUUCAAUCUGCCUCCAGCAUUCCAUCUCCUUCCUUUACCUUUCAUUCUAUCUCCUCCCUUUCCUCUUAAUUUGAUUUCCUCUCCUUCACCUUUGAAUUCCCCUGUUCGGAGCCUCGAAAUCGUUUGAGAGAUGUGUGGUUAAAGGGGAAUAACGUUUUGAUUUUGCGAUGAAUCUCCAUGUUGUUGCAGUGAUUUAUUAAAGUUUGAGAGGUUUGAUGAUGAAGUGAUUCCAGUUAUCGAACAAGAGAUUUAUGUUCUAGAUGUUUUGAAAGGAGUUUUAUGGGUUUAUGCAGUUAGAUGAUACUCAUUUUAUGUUGGGUCAUCUUGAUAAAUCAAUCGAUUGUUAUAAAUUAAGAUGGGUUUAAAAUCUAGAGUCAAAUUCUUGGGGAUCUGAUCCCAAAUUUGCCGAAACUACUUAUUUGCUUGUUUUCACACAAGAAUCUCAAAACAAAGGAGAGAGGAAGAAAUUGGAGUACUCAAGUUACAUGUUUGAUAUAGUUAUACGUAUAAAUUACAAUAAUUCAUUUAUAUAUUUUUACUAGAAUUUAAUUAAAGUUUGUUAAAAUUCUUUGUAUCAUAGUACAAACAUUAAUGUGCCAAUGUUAUUCUCUUUUAAUGUUAUCGAUUUAAUUAUAGCAUAAAUCAAA